rnacentral:rRNA from 1 species
UACGUAGGGUGCGAGCGUUGUCCGGAAUUAUUGGGCGUAAAGGGCUCGUAGGCGGUUUGUCGCGUCGGGAGUGAAAACUCAGGGCUUAACCCUGAGCCUGCUUCCGAUACGGGCAGACUAGAGGUAUGCAGGGGAGAACGGAAUUCCUGGUGUAGCGGUGGAAUGCGCAGAUAUCAGGAAGAACACCCGUGGCGAAGGCGGUUCUCUGGGACGGUACUGACGCUGAGGCGCGAAAGCGUGGGGAGCAAACGGG